UACAGAGGGUGCGAGCGUUGUCCGGAAUCACUGGGCGUAAAGGGCGCGUAGGCGGCUUGAUAAGCGUGCGGUGAAAGCCCGGGGCUCAACCCCGGGUCGGCCGUGCGAACUGUCGAGCUGGAGCACUGUAGAGGCAGGUGGAAUUCCGGGUGUAGUGGUGGAAUGCGUAGAGAUCCGGAGGAACACCAGCGGCGAAGGCGGCAUCCUGGACUGGUCCUGACACUCAUGAGCGAAAGCGUGGGGAGCGAUCCGG
rnacentral:rRNA from 1 species